UACGUAGGGUGCAAGCGUUGUCCGGAAUUAUUGGGCGUAAAGAGCUCGUAGGCGGUCUGUCACGUCGGCUGUGAAAACCCGAGGCUCAACCUCGGGCCUGCAGUCGAUACGAGCAAACUAGAGUGUUGCAGGGGAGACUGGAAUUCCUGGUGUAGCGGUGAAAUGCGCAGAUAUCAGGAGGAACACCGGUGGCGAAGGCGGGUCUCUGGGCAACAACUGACGCUGAGGAGCGAAAGCGUGGGGAGCGAACAGG
rnacentral:rRNA from 1 species